CCGUGAAACUGCGAAUGGCUCAUUAAAUCAGUUAUCGUUUAUUUGAUAGUACCUUACUACUUGGAUAACCGUGGUAAUUCUAGAGCUAAUACAUGCUAAAAACCCCAACUUCGGGAGGGGUGUAUUUAUUAGAUAAAAAACCAAUGCCCUUCGGGGCUCCUUGGUGAUUCAUAAUAACUUCUCAGAUCGCAUGGCCUUGCGCCGGCGACGGUUCAUUCAAAUUUCUGCCCUAUCAACUUUCGAUGGUAAGGUAUUGGCUUACCAUGGUUUCAACGGGUAACGGGGAAUUAGGGUUCGAUUCCGGAGAGGGAGCCUGAGAAACGGCUACCACAUCCAAGGAAGGCAGCAGGCGCGCAAAUUACCCAAUCCCGACACGGGGAGGUAGUGACAAUAAAUACUGAUACAGGGCUCUUUAGGGUCUUGUAAUUGGAAUGAGUACAAUUUAAACCUCUUAACGAGGAACAAUUGGAGGGCAAGUCUGGUGCCAGCAGCCGCGGUAAUUCCAGCUCCAAUAGCGUAUAUUAAAGUUGUUGCAGUUAAAAAGCUCGUAGUUGAACCUUUGGCCUGGCUGGCGGGUCCGCCUCACCGCGUGCACUCGUCCGGCCGGGCCUUUUCUUCUGGAGAACCGCAUGCCCUUCACUGGGUGUGUUGGGGACCAGGACUUUUACUUUGAAAAAAUUAGAGUGUUCAAAGCAGGCCUUUGCUCGAAUACGUUAGCAUGGAAUAAUAGAAUAGGACGUGCGGUCCUAUUUUGUUGGUUUCUAGGACCGCCGUAAUGAUUAAUAGGGACAGUCGGGGGCAUCAGUAUUCAAUUGUCAGAGGUGAAAUUCUUGGAUUUAUUGAAGACUAACUACUGCGAAAGCAUUUGCCAAGGAUGUUUUCAUUAAUCAGUGAACGAAAGUUAGGGGAUCGAAGACGAUCAGAUACCGUCGUAGUCUUAACCAUAAACUAUGCCGACUAGGGAUCGGGCGGUGUUACUAUUUUGACCCGCUCGGCACCUUACGAGAAAUCAAAGUG
rnacentral:rRNA from 1 species